rnacentral:rRNA from 1 species
GAUAAUACUGGACGUUCCCUGAGUGGGGGUACGGUAGGAAAGUACGGUAAUCCCGCUACGAUUUAGGAUGAAAUUGGGGAUCCAAGACCUCAUGUUUUUGAACGGCCGAAUUCUGAUUAGCUAGUUGUAGGGUAAAAGCUUCCCCAGGCAUCGAUCAGUAGCUGGUCUGAGAGGAGGCCCAGCCACACUGGAACUGAGACACGGUCCAGAUUCCUACGGGAGGCAGCAGUGGGGAAUUUUGGACAAUGGGCGCAAGCCUGAUCCAGCAAUGCCGCGUGAGUGAAGAAGGCCUUCGGGUUGUAAAGCUCUUUUGUCAGGGAAGAAACGGUGAGAGCUAAUAUCUUUUGCUAAUGACGGUACCUGAAGAAUAAGCACCGGCUAACUACGUGCCAGCAGCCGCGGUAAUACGUAGGGUGCAAGCGUUAAUCGGAAUUACUGGGCGUAAAGCGUGCGCAGGCGGUUUUGUAAGUCUGAUGUGAAAUCCCCGGGCUCAACCUGGGAAUUGCAUUGGAGACUGCAAGGCUAGAAUCUGGCAGAGGGGGGUAGAAUUCCACGUGUAGCAGUGAAAUGCGUAGAUAUGUGGAGGAACACCGAUGGCGAAGGCAGCCCCCUGGGUCAAGAUUGACGCUCAUGCACGAAAGCGUGGGGAGCAAACAGGAUUAGAUACCCUGGUAGUCCACGCCCUAAACGAUGUCUACUAGUUGUCGGGUCUUAAUUGACUUGGUAACGCAGCUAACGCGUGAAGUAGACCGCCUGGGGAGUACGGUCGCAAGAUUAAAACUCAAAGGAAUUGACGGGGACCCGCACAAGCGGUGGAUGAUGUGGAUUAAUUCGAUGCAACGCGAAAAACCUUACCUACCCUUGACAUGGAUGGAAUCCCGGAGAGAUCUGGGAGUGCUCGAAAGAGAACCAUUACACAGGUGCUGCAUGGCUGUCGUCAGCUCGUGUCGUGAGAUGUUGGGUUAAGUCCCGCAACGAGCGCAACCCUUGUCAUUAGUUGCUACGAAAGGGCACUCUAAUGAGACUGCCGGUGACAAACCGGAGGAAGGUGGGGAUGACGUCAAGUCCUCAUGGCCCUUAUGGGUAGGGCUUCACACGUCAUACAAUGGUACAUACAGAGCGCCGCCAACCCGCGAGGGGGAGCUAAUCGCAGAAAGUGUAUCGUAGUCCGGAUUGUAGUCUGCAACUCGACUGCAUGAA